rnacentral:rRNA from 1 species
UACAGAGGGGCAAGCGUUAUUCGGAAUUAUUGGGCGUAAAGGGCGCGUAGGCGGCCUGGCAAGUGGAUGGUGAAAGUCCCUCGGCCUAACCGAGGAACUGCCAUCCAGACUGCUUGGCUUGAGACCGGGAGAGGUGAGUGGAAUUCCCAGUGUAGCGGUGAAAUGCGUAGAUAUUGGGAGGAACACCAGUGGCGAAGGCGGCUCACUGGACCGGUACUGACGCUGAGGCGCGAAAGCGUGGGGAGCAAGAGGG